AUUUAUUGGUUCAUUUUUCAAGGAGGUCCCAAACAUUGAUCACUAGAAUACUUCCUCCAACUUCCGUCUUAAGUAUUUAAGGAUUCUAGCAAUGAAGACUUCUUCUUCUUUUAAAUUAAAUGUUAUGUUUCUAUAGACUUUAAUACACACUCUGGGACUCCUAUAAAUGAAUAUAAGCUCAAAUUCGUAUUGAAAACAUAACAGAGGACGCAUCAUAAUUCUCAUGAAAAGUGAAUCAAUUAAAUCAUGAUACCUUCUAAACAAAUAUUUUCUUUUUAAGCUUAUUCAAAUAAAUUUGAACUAACUUUAUAAUAUGAACGAACAACCUUAUGUCAAGAAGGUUCCUUUCAUCUAGAGAACUCUCAAAGUCGACUUAUUAUUAAAGGAGGUGAUGUUGUCAAUGAAGAUGGAAUAUUCUGUGCGGAUGUGUAUAUUGAGGAUCGCCUUAUUGCCUAAGUUGGCCAGAAUUUAGAAAUACCUGAAGACACGUAGGUAAUUGAUGCGACUGGACGACUAAUAAUACCUGGAGGGAUUGACACCAAUACCUACUUCGAGAUUCCGUUCAUGAAUACAACAUCAAGUGAUCAUUUAUACACUGAAACUAGGGCUGCAUUGGCUGGUGGAACACCCAUGGUGAUAAACUUUGUCUUUCCUGCCAAAGGUGAAGAAUCACUAAUUGAGGCUCAUAAAUAGAGAAGAACAAAACCUGAUGGACGUGUAUGCUGUGAUUAUAGUUUGCAUAUGGCAGUAACGCAUUGGAAUGAAGAUAUUCGCCCAGAAAUGUCCAAGAUUUGUUCAGAUACAUUUGGAAUUAAUUCAUUUAAAAUGUUUAUGUCUUAUAAGGACAUAUUUAUGCGUAAUAAUGAUGAAUUGUUAGACUGUAUGAA
rnacentral:lncRNA from 1 species